UCAAGCGAAUAAGCGCACACGGUGGAUGCCUUGGCGGUCAGAGGCGAUGAAGGACGUGGCAGCCUGCGAAAAGUAUCGGGGAGCUGGCAACAAGCUUUGAUCCGGUAAUGUCCGAAUGGGGAAACCCACCCGCUUGCGGGUAUCCUGCAGUGAAUACAUAGCUGCUGGAAGCGAACCUGGUGAACUGAAAUAUCUAAGUAACCAGAGGAAAAGAAAUCAACCGAGAUUCCGUAAGUAGCGACGAGCGAACGCGGACUAGCCCUUAAGCUGAUUUGGUUCUAGGAAAACGCUCUGGAAAGAGCGGCCAUAGAAGGUGAUAGCCCUGUAUCUGAAAGGGCCAUUUCAGUGAAGACGAGUAGGGCGGGGCACGUGAAACCCUGUCUGAACAUGGGGGGACCAUCCUCCAAGGCUAAAUACUACUGACCGACCGAUAGUGAACCAGUACCGUGAGGGAAAGGCGAAAAGAACCCCGGAGAGGGGAGUGAAAUAGAACCUGAAACCGUGUGCGUACAAGCAGUAGGAGCUCCGCAAGGAGUGACUGCGUACCUUUUGUAUAAUGGGUCAGCGACUUACUGUUCGUGGCAAGCUUAACCGUAUAGGGGAGGCGAAGGGAAACCGAGUCUGAUAAGGGCGCAUAGUCGCGGGCAGUAGACCCGAAACCGGGUGAUCUAGUCAUGCCCAGGGUGAAGGUGCGGUAACACGCACUGGAGGCCCGAACCCACUCCCGUUGCAAAGGUAGGGGAUGAGGUGUGAUUAGGAGUGAAAAGCUAAUCGAACCCGGAGAUAGCUGGUUCUCCUCGAAAGCUAUUUAGGUAGCGCCUCAUAUGUAUCCUCUCGGGGGUAGAGCACUGUUAUGGCUAGGGGGUCAUCGCGACUUACCAAACCAUUGCAAACUCCGAAUACCGAGACGGACUGUAUGGGAGACACACGGCGGGUGCUAACGUCCGUCGUGAAAAGGGAAACAACCCAGACCCACAGCUAAGGUCCCAAAUUUUGUGCUAAGUGGAAAACCAUGUGGAAAGGCACAGACAGCCAGGAGGUUGGCUUAGAAGCAGCCACCCUUUAAAGAAAGCGUAAUAGCUCACUGGUCGAGUCGGUCUGCGGGGAAGAUUUAACGGGGCUAAGCACAGAACCGAAGCUUGGGGUGCAUACUUUGUAUGCGCGGUAGAGGAGCGUUCCGUAAGCCGUUGAAGGUGGAUUGAGAAGUCUGCUGGAGGUAUCGGAAGUGCGAAUGCUGACAUGAGUAACGAUAAUGCGGGUGAAAAACCCGCACGCCGAAAGCCCAAGGUUUCCUUGCGCAACGUUAAUCGGCGCAGGGUGAGUCGGCCCCUAAGGCGAGGACGAAAGUCGUAGUCGAUGGGAAGCAGGUUAAUAUUCCUGCACCUCGCGUAAGUGCGAUGGAGGGACGGAGAAGGUUAGGUGUACCAGGCGUUGGUUGUCCUGGGGAAAGGCGGUAGGUUUGGAUCUUUGGCAAAUCCGGGAUCCUCUAAGACCGAGCACCGAGACGAGCCUUUAUGGCGAAGUCACUGAUACCACGCUUCCAGGAAAAGCUCCUAAGCUUCAGCUUACGCAGACCGUACCGUAAACCGACACAGGUGGGUAGGAUGAGAAUUCUCAGGCGCUUGAGAGAACUCGGGUGAAGGAACUAGGCAACAUGGCACCGUAACUUCGGGAGAAGGUGCACCCUUUUUGGUGGCUCGUGCGAGCUAUAGCUGAAGAGGGUCGCAGUAACCAGGCCGCUGCGACUGUUUAUCAAAAACACAGCACUCUGCAAACACGAAAGUGGACGUAUAGGGUGUGACGCCUGCCCGGUGCUGGAAGGUUAAUUGAUGGGGUCAGCCGCAAGGCGAAGCUCUUGAUCGAAGCCCCAGUAAACGGCGGCCGUAACUAUAACGGUCCUAAGGUAGCGAAAUUCCUUGUCGGGUAAGUUCCGACCUGCACGAAUGGCGUAACGACAGCGGCGCUGUCUCCACCCGAGACUCAGUGAAAUUGAAAUCGCUGUGAAGAUGCAGCGUUCCCGUGGCAAGACGGAAAGACCCCGUGAACCUUUACUAUAGCUUUACACUGAACGUUGAGUUCGUCUGUGUAGGAUAGGUGGGAGGCUAUGAAACCAUGGCGCUAGCUGUGGCGGAGCCAUCCUUGAAAUACCACCCUGUCGUGCUUGACGUUCUAACCUGGGCCCAUUAUCUGGGUCGGGGACCGUGUAUGGUGGGUAGUUUGACUGGGGCGGUCUCCUCCUAAAGAGUAACGGAGGAGCUCGAAGGUACGCUCAGCGCGGUCGGACAUCGCGCACUGUGUGCAAAGGCAUAAGCGUGCUUGACUGCAAGAUCGACGGAUCAAGCAGGUAGGAAACUAGGACUUAGUGAUCCGGUGGUUCUGUAUGGAAGGGCCAUCGCUCAACGGAUAAAAGGUACUCCGGGGAUAACAGGCUGAUACCGCCCAAGAGUUCAUAUCGACGGCGGUGUUUGGCACCUCGAUGUCGGCUCAUCACAUCCUGGGGCUGUAGUCGGUCCCAAGGGUAUGGCUGUUCGCCAUUUAAAGUGGUACGCGAGCUGGGUUCAGAACGUCGUGAGACAGUUCGGUCCCUAUCUGCCAUGGGCGUUGGAGAUUUGAGAGGGGCUGCUCCUAGUACGAGAGGACCGGAGUGGACGAACCUCUGGUGUUCCGGUUGUCACGCCAGUGGCAUUGCCGGGUAGCUAUGUUCGGAAGCGAUAACCGCUGAAAGCAUCUAAGCGGGAAGCGCGCCUCAAGAUGAGAUCUCCCGGGGCACAAGCCCCCUGAAGGAACCAUGUAGACUACGUGGUUGAUAGGUCAGGUGUGUAAGUACAGCAAUGUAUUGAGCUAACUGAUACUAAUGAUCCGAGAGGCUUGACCAU
rnacentral:rRNA from 1 species